rnacentral:rRNA from 1 species
ACKGCUCAGUAACACGUGGACAACCUACCCUCCGGACGGGGAUAAACCCGGGAAACUGGGUAUAAUACCCGAUAGAUCUCGACUGCUGGAAUGCAUCGAGAUCGAAAGCUCCGGCGCCAGAGGAUGGGUCUGCGGCCUAUCAGGUAGUAGUGGGUGUAGCGUACCUACUAGCCUACGACGGGUACGGGUUGUGAGAGCAAGAGCCCGGAGAUGGAUUCUGAGACACGAAUCCAGGCCCUACGGGGUGCAGCAGGCGCGAAAACUUUACAAUGCCGGCAACGGCGAUAAGGGGACCUCGAGUGCCAGGUUACAAAUCUGGCUGUCGUGAUGCCUAAAAAGCAUUGCAUAGCAGGGGCCGGGCAAGACCGGUGCCAGCCGCCGCGGUAACACCGGCGGCUCGAGUGGUAACCGUUAUUAUUGGGUCUAAAGGGUCUGUAGCCGGCCGGAUAAGUCUCUUGGGAAAUCCAGCAGCUCAACUGUUGGGCUUUCAGGAGAUACUGUCUGGCUCGAGGCCGGGAGAGGUGAGAGGUACUUCAGGGGUAGGGGUGAAAUCUUGUAAUCCUUGAAGGACCACCAGUGGCGAAGGCGUCUCACCAGAACGGACCUGACGGCAAGGGACGAAAGCUAGGGGCACGAACCGGAUUAGAUACCCGGGUAGUCCUAGCCGUAAACGAUACUCGCUAGGUGUCGGCCACGGUGCGACCGUUGUCGGUGCCGUAGGGAAGCCGUGAAGCGAGCCACCUGGGAAGUACGGCCGCAAGGCUGAAACUUAAAGGAAUUGGCGGGGGAGCAC